UCCAGCUGCUAGCCAGUAUUCUCCCUAAUGUCCACUCUGUUCAGGGGCUAUAUGGUUGGGUGACUUGGGUCCCCGUCCUCCAGCUGGAAGGGUGGUGUGAUAGAUUUUAAACAUCACAAAUUCUUACAGAUGUUCCAUCACAAGGGCUGCCCUAAGAAAGUACCACAAACUGGGCAUCUUAAAACAACAGCAGCUUGUCGUCUCCCAGUUCUGGGGACUAGACCCCAAAAUCAGUGUGUCAGCAGUGCCAUGCCCCCUCUGAAAGCCGUAGGGGAACCCUCCCUUGCCUCUAACUUCUGUUUUCAAGGCUGAGAUUGAAUGGCACCCCUACUCUUUCUGCUCCUGCCUCUAUAAGAAUUAAUUCC